AACGAACGCUGGCGGCAUGCCUAACACAUGCAAGUCGAACGAGAUCUUCGGGUCUAGUGGCGCACGGGUGCGUAACGCGUCGGACUCUGCCCUCUGUUCAGGAAUAAAAGUUGGAAACGACUGCUAACACCAGCUCAUGACGAAAGUCCAAAGAUUUAUAGCCAGAGGAUGAGCCCGCGUAGGAUUAGCUAGUUGGUGUGGUAAAGGCGCACCAAGGCGACGAUCCUUAGCUGGUCUGAGAGGAUGAUCAGCCACACUGGGACUGAGACACGGCCCAGACUCCUACGGGAGGCAGCAGUGGGGAAUAUUGGACAAUGGGCGAAAGCCUGAUCCAGCAAUGCCUCGUGAGUGAUGAAGGCCUUAGGGUUGUAAAGCUCUUUUACCCGGUGUGAUAAUGACAGUACCGGGAGAAUAAGCUCCGGCUAACUCCGUGCCAGCCGCCGCCGUAA
rnacentral:rRNA from 1 species